rnacentral:lncRNA from 1 species
CUAGGCCUGAUGUGGAAAGACCCUUGAGAAGGCUCCUGCAGUGAUCCAGGAACACUGAACUGUGAGUCAGAAUGUUGGGUUGAGAUCUGGCACUGACUGGCUGACACCCUGGGUCUGCCAUUUGUCCUCUCUUCAGCCACCAGCACAACAUAAUGUACUUGAUAAAAGAUGCCACUGUAAACCUGAAAGCCUUUUGCAAGGUAAGACAAGCAAAAUUGAGAAAAGAGGUAAGUGGCGUGUUUUUGGACAAUAAUGACUUUAUCUGAUUUGUGUUCCAAAUCCCAGGUCAAUGGAAUCGACUUUCAAUUCAAUUAACUUUUGAUCCUUAAAUGUAUAUCUGUUUAUUCAUUUUAAUAAAAAAAUUCCUAUUUUUAAAUGUAAAAUUGAGAAGUAUAUGAAUAAGGAACUGCUGCAGUAUGAUGCCUUUGCACCUGGGAAAGGUAAGUGUCAACUGAUCCCAUAAGACUUCUAGAACUGAACAUAGUGUGCCCAGAGAAUUACAGGUACAUAAAUUCAAAUUAAGUUAUCUGGGAUGAUUGGUUUGGAUAUCUCUGCAUCUACUAUGAAUGACAUAAGUGAGGAAACUCAUUGACAAAGGCAGUGCUUAUAUGUGUCAGGAUACAUAGGGUAAAACUGGUGGAGGAUGCAACUUGCAACUUUUAACUAAUAACUUACCUUUUGCUGAACCUGUUGAACUUGGCUAUGCUUAGAAAUAUGAGGGGGAUGCUACAAGGUGGAGUUUUCCUCCCUCUGUCUUCCUAUGGUGAUAAAAAUGAUAGGUACAAAAGAACAAAUGACCCACAUAUUUAAUAUAAAGCCUAUUGGGAUAGAAAUAUGUCAUUUAUUUAUUUUGUUAGUUCAAAAGAGAAGAAUAGACAGUAUUUUUUAAAUUACUGAGCUGGAUUCUUUAGAAUGGGUCCCCAAAUUUACCCUGAUGAAGAGUUGCUCACUUGAAAUCUUUAAGCUGAAUAGUAAAAAAGCAAGAGAGAGGAAGAGGCCUGCGGAGAGUGUUAAGAGUUAGCUGGAUAGUUGGAAGGCCACAGCGGGUGCUUGGGGCCCAGCAAAGAGUACAGCUCUCUUAAUUUCAAAUAAUGAUUAUUUGAAAUUAAUUUCAAAUCAAAUAAUGAUUUACCAUGCUGCAGUUGCAGGAAAUGACAGCUGUGGCCACACAUUUUCCCUCUACCCACCCACAUCAAAAUGCCAAUGAGUUCUACGUCUUGCUCCUUUCUGGUAAUGUAACAGCACUUAAAGCAAGUACUUCAAUAGCUGCAGGCCACCAGAAGGAUGGAGCCCAGAGCCUGCUGUCUUGUGAUUAGUGGGUGGAAGCACAUAUCUCACUGUUACAUCAUGAUCAAACUGCUGCACACUUAAAAAGUUCAAAAUCCAGUGUCUGGACCUCAUUUUUCUAAGAAGGCAUGCUUUAGGUUUUUAUUGAAGGUAAUAUAUUUCUGGAAUAAAAAUGGCAACUAUAGCAUACCAAAAAUAAUGAUAUUGACAAUAACAAUAUCACAAUAACAAUGAAAGUUAAUUGAGCAUUUACUCUUUGAGGGACACCAUACUCAGCAUUAGAAAGCUUAUCUUCUAUAAUUCAAAUAGCAACUCUAUAACAUAGGUGCUAUUUUCAUUAUUUUCAUUUUACAACUGAGAAAAUUAAGGCACAGAGAGAUGAAAUUAUGUGCCUAAGGGACUCACGGCUAAUAGGUGGCAAAAUAAUGAUUUGAAACUUGACUGUUAUUCUCAAAAGCCCAUGAGCACCAUCUUUCUAGACUUAAAAACUAAAUUGUCUUUCUCUUAUUAUCAUCACUAUUUAACAUUUUCCACAAGGUUGGCCUAACCAUCAACCAUUGUCCUUUUGGAAAAAAAUUUCUAAUGGCAUACUUACUCCCCCUAUAUCCCCUUCCAUCUGUUUCUUUGCAAAGAUGAUUGACGACUGAGCCUAGAGUCUAAAAAUGCUGUCAACAUCUGCAGCCCCAGGAGCUCAUACAAAGUAACUAACUGGAAAGUCAUUAACUGAUGCAGUAACUAUUUUCUGUCCCCAAGAGAACCUUGGCACCUUGGAGCAGGACUCUUGGGCCCUGCAUGGAGAGACCAGUAUAGUAAUGUAUAAUGCAGCCCAACAUAUGUGUCAAACAAACAGGGCCAUUGGUGGCACAGACUGAGGUGCCUACUUCAAAUGAAAUGAUAUUCCAGCACUAUCCUCCUGUAUUAUAGUUAAAGCAGCAAAUGGUUAAUUAAAAGCAAUCUCUUUUGUUUCUGAGGCGACCCUUUCUCCUUUGCCAAUAGAUGACUGUUUAUACUCCCAGUUUAUUUCUUCAGUCCUAAAGAUAUUUUAUUGCCUGCUAAACUUAGUUUUCUCUAAAUUGCUGGAGAAGAAAAACACCCCAAACUGCUUAUUUCAUCAAAACUGGCUCCUAUAUUAUAUUGGCCAAAAUGAAAUCCACCAAUCCAGGGCACCAGAGUUGAUAAUAUGAGAGAGGGGUGCUUGAUAAGAUUUUAAAAAAUUCUCUGGAGUCACAGUUGGUCAUUACUUAACCUGUCAAUCUCACAAGUACUCAGUAGGAGUCUCUCCAUCUCCUACCAGAUAAUUGCAUUAAGUUAUAUUGUUUGAAUUACUGUCAUAUAAGCACUGAGAGGAAAGAGAAUAUGAACAACUGCUUCAUAAAGCAUUUAGAAUAUUGCCAAGUGUAAAGAAAUGCUUAAGUGCUGAUCAUGAUGACAUGUGGUAAAUUAGCCCCCAGCAUCAUGGCAGAGUUGACUGGUUCUAAAGUCACCUGACUUCCUGACAGCCCUAUUCCUUGGCAGGUAUUGGAGAUUUAAGUAGUGGUGCUGGAUUUCAAUAGUACUCCCAAGGAUGCAAGUGUGCUAAGGCUUUCUCCUCAAGGCGUGACACUUAGCACACUUGUGUGGCCUGGACUGAUAUCUUGGCUCUGCCACUUUCUUGUCAUGUGAUCCAGUGCAAUAAUUUAAUUUUCCUGAAUCUCACUUUCCCAAUCACUAAAAUGGGAACAGGGCUACUUUUCUUUCCUGCUUCACUAGGCUAUUGUGUGGCUCCAAUAAGAAAAACUGUAGAAAAAUGCUUUGAAGAAAAAUGGUUUGAAGAAUACGUAAGUACUUAAGUACUAUAAAAAUGCAUUGAUAGCUGAGAAUUUUCAGUGGUGUGUGUGUGUGUGUGUGUGUGUGUGUGUGUGUGAUAGAGAGAGAGAGAGAGAGGGAAUACAAGUAGAGGUGGGCUAGUGUGGAGGACUUAGACUUUAUUAUUAUUAUUAUUAUUAUUAUUAUGGAGUCUUGCUCUGUAGCCCAGGCUGGAAUGCAGUGGUGUGAUCUUGACUCACCAUAACCUCCACCUCCCAGGUUCAAGCGAUUCUCCUGCCUCAGCCUCCUGAGUAGCUGGGAUUACAGGCAUGCAUCACCAUGCCUGGCUAAUUUUUGUAUUUUUAGUAGAGAGAGGGUUUUGCCAUGAUCGUCAUGGUCUCGAACUCCUGACCUCAGGUGAUCCGCCCACCUUGGCCUCCCAAAGCGCUGGGAUUACAGGCAUGAGCCACUGCACCCUUUGGCUUAUUAUUUUAUUAUUAUUUUAAUGCUUUCUCCACACUUGAGAAAUUGGUCAACAGUUAUGAUUAAAUUACUAGCACCAGUUUUGAAUACCUCUUAGGAAACUCACCAAUAAGUUAUUAUUAGUCUACCAUGUAUUUCCUGGGCAAAAAUAAUUCAUUUAGCUCUGAAUGUUUAUCUAAGGCAUGAAAAACUUGGUUUAGUUUUUAGAGUAUCUGCAAUGUCAUCAAACUUAUCCAAAUAUUUAAUCUAAAUUCUAUGUGCUGUCAUUUAAGGCCAUUAUGUCUGGUUCUUUCCUCAUCAGUUAAUCUCUAUAAUAGUGCUCUAUUUGGCUCAUUCCAUCUUUUUAUAUUUCUGUAGACAGUUAUCACCCCAAAUGCCUUCAUUUUAUUUCUGAGCCAGCUAUCUUUUUCUUGACUCAAAGGCCAUCAUUUGGAAAUAUUUGUCACUUUUAGUUGGUCUCUUAUGAAAUCUGAAACGCUUUACAUCUACCUGUUUAAAUUCAGGAUCACGGGCUCUUGCUUGUCCUUGCUCUAUGAAUCAAGGUAGAGGGCUCUCCUAUAAACUGUUUUUUUGCUAUUUUCCUGUCACUGCAUGUACCUUUUCUCCUCACCCAAAAUAAUCCAAGAUAAGCAGGGAGGAAAAAGGACUUCCCUGGGGUGAAGUGGCUCUUACCACAAAGACUUCACAGCAGAUGCAAAGGCCACUGUUCUUGGUAAAGGCGUGAGUUAUGUCCAGGAGAGCAGGUCUUGUCAUGGGUCCCCCUGUUAAGACAAUGCACUGGGGCCUGGAAGUAAAAAAAAGAUGUGAAAAUGAGCCCCUGCAAGAAGCCUGUAACCUUAGAACCAUUCCAGUGGGAUGACAGGUACAGAGGCUUGGAAAAAUGGGGCAACCUCUCCCCUAUCUAUUUUUUGGGUUUCGCACCAGUAUUCUUGAAUCAUCCUGCCUGUCUUGACAUGUUUGUGUUCUCAGUUCAGUUAGUCCUAGCAAAAGUGUGAAGUAAGGAAAAAGUGGUCUUAUGGUCCUGAUAUGGUUUGGCUGUGUUCCCACCCAAAUCUCAUCUUGAAUUGUAGCUUCCAUAAUUGCCACGUAUUGUGAGAGGGACCCAGUGGGAGGUAAUUGAAUCAUGGGGACAGAUGUUCCCAUGCUGUUCUCAUUCACCCUCCACCAUGAUUGUGAGGCCUCCUCAGCCAUGUGGAACUGUGAGUCUAUUAAAUCUCUUUUUCUUGAAAAAUUACCCAGUCUUGGAUAUUUCUUCAUAGCAUCAUGAAAAUGGACUAAAAUUCGUACUGGUAGAGUGGGGUGCUGCUGUAAAGAUACCCAAAAAUGUGAAAGUGACUUUGGAACUGGAUAUAACAGGCAGAGGCUGGAACAGUUUGGAGGGCCCAGAAGAAGACAGAAAAAUGUGGGAAAGUUUGGAACUUCCUAGAGACUUGGAGGGCUCAGAAGAAAGGAAGAUGCGUAAAAGUUUGGAAUUUCAUAGAGACUCAUUGAAUGGCUUUGACCAAAAUGCUGAUAGUGAUAUGGACAAUAAAGUUCAGGCUGAGGUGGUCUCAGAUGGAGAUGAAGAACUCCUUGGGAACUGGAGUAAAGGUCACUCUUGCUGUGCAAAGAGACUGGCAGCAUUUUGCCUCUGCCCUAGAAAUCUGUGAAACUUUGAACUUGAGAGAGAUGAUUUAGGUAUCUGGCAGAAGAAAUUUCUAAGCAGCAAAGUGUUCAAGAGGAAACAGAGCAAAAAAGUUGGAAAAAUUUGCAGUAGAAAGGAAAAAACCAUGUUCUGGGGAGAAAUUUAAGCUGGCUGCAGAAAUUUGCAUAGGUAACAAGGAGGCAAAUGCUAAUCACCAAGACAAUGGGGAAAAUAUUUCCGGGGCAUGUCAGAGAACUUCACAGCAGCCUCUCUCAUCACAGGCCUGGAGGCCCAGGAGGGAAAUAUCGUUUCCUGGGCAUGGUCCAGGGUCCCCCUGCUGUGUGCAGCCUAGGGACUUGGUGCCCUUUGUCCUAGCUGCUCCAGCCAUGGCUAAAAGGGGCCAAGGUAUAGCUUGGAUGGUGGCUUCAGAAGGUGAAAGUCCCAAGCCUUGGCAGCUUUCAUGUGGUGUUGGUCCUGUGGGUGCAUAGAAGACUAGAAUUGAGGUUUGAGAACCUCCUCCUAGAUGUCAGAGGAUGUAUGGAAAUGCCUGGAUAUCCAGGCAGAGGUGUGCUGCAGGGGCAGAGCACUCAUGGAGAACCUCUGCUAGGGUAGUGCAGAAGGAAAAUGUGGGGUCGGAGCCCCCAGACAGACUCCCCACUGGGGCACUGCCUAGUAGAUCUGUAAGAAGAGGACCACAGUCCUCUAGACCCCAGAAUGGUAGAUCCACCGACAGUUUGCACUGUGCACCUGGAAAAGCUGCAGACACUCAACACCAGCCAGUGAAAGCAGCCAGGAGGGAGGCUGUACCCUGCAAAGCCACAGGGGCAGAGCUGCUCAACACCUUGGGAACCCACCUUGCAUCAACAUGACCUGGAUAUGAGACAUGGAGUCAAAGGAGAUCAUUUUGGAGCUUUAAGAUUUUACUGCCCCACUGGAUUUCGGACUUGCAUGGGGCAUGUAGCCCCUUUGUUUUGGCCAAUUUCUCCCAUUUGGAACAGGUGUAUUUACCAAAUGCCUGUAUCCCCAUUGUAUCUAGGAAGUAACUAACUUGCUUUUGAUUUUACAGACUCAUAGGCAGAAGGGACAUGCCUUGUCUCAGAUGAGACUUUGGACUGUGGACUUUUGAGUUAAUGCUGAAAUGAGUUAAGACUUUGGGGGACUGUUGGGAAGGCAUGAUUAGUUUUGAAAUGUGAGGACAAGAAAUUUGGGGGGGGGGGCCAGGGAUGGAAUGAUAUGGUUUGGGCUGUGUCCCCACCUAAAUCUCAUCUUGAAUUAUAGUUCCCAUAAUCCCCAUGUGUUGUGGGAGGGACCCAGUGGGAGGUAAUUGAAUCAUGGGGGUGGGUUUUUCCUGUGCUGUUCUCAUGACAGUGAAUAAGUCUCCCAAGAACUGAUGGUUUUAUAAAGGGCAGUUCCCCUGCACACACUCCCUUGCCUGCCGCCAUGUAAGACAUGCCUUUGCUCCUCCUUUGCCUUCUGCUAUGAUUGUGAGGCCUCCUCAGCAAUGUGGAAUGGUGAGUCCAUUAAGCCUCUUUUUUUAAAAUUAUAAAUUACCCAGUCUUGGGUAUUUCUUCAUAGCAGUAUGAAAAUGGACUAAUACAGUCCCCCUGUCCUUUUUCCUCUAGCCACUUACCCCAAAUCCCAAGGCAAUCUGUUCCUCUCCAAGCAAGAUUUUUAUGUUACUUUCUUUCAUUCUUCAUACAAGCUUGCGCUUGAGGUUUUAUUCAAAAUAAGAUACAACUAAUGAAAAGCUAAAAGGAUUACUUUUAAGAGAAUUCAGUAAGCCCUAAAGCCUUAAGCAGAAUGGAAACAAUAGCAGAGUAAUGUGUGUGGGGAUUUAGGAUCAUCUCUCUGAAGUCACAUUACCUAGUCCACCUUGCUAUCUCCACGCAUGGAAGGUGACACCUGGCACUAUGAGGGGCUGUAGUUUGGGAUGGGCAUAGCUCAGUGUGGAAGGAAAGAAGCACUCACUUACAGGAGGUGCUGUCAUGAAAAUGUGGCAGUUUUGUAUGACUGCUUAUUUUUAGAAUGUACCCCUAAAGCUUAUAACUACUUGAAUGCCCUUGUCUCUUAUAAAGGAGAGCCACUUCUAGGGUGGAAAAACACCAGGAUGCCUGAGACACCAGCUUUACCUGAAGUUUUUUACGUGGUCUUCCACUGUGGUUAAUUCCAGAGCAUUGUCUAAAGCACUCACGUAGGAAAGAGCCUGUGUGGAGGAGCCCCAGUUCACAUCUGUGGAUAAAGGAGGAAAUUGGCAUAAAAAACACUGACCUUUCCUCUGUGCACCAUGAAUAAUUUUACAAGUCAUUCCCUUCUAUGAUUUUCCUUGGCUAUGCCAGCAAAGAUGAGUGCCCAAAUUAGAGAAAAUAUAGUGUGGGAUUUCCUAAAAAGCACUUUGUAUCCUUCUAUGAAUACUACGUGAAUCUUCAGAAGCUAAGGCUUCAUUCCAGCAAAGGAUCAGACUGUACAACUGCAGUCCUAGAAAUCUUGCUUGGUGGGAGAGGCUGUGCGAUAACCACAUUGCAGGCAUAUAGACUUGGGAAACUGGUCAGUCCCUGAAUAAAUUCAAAGCGUCUUCACAAAUUCUUCUUUUUUUUUUUUUUUUUGAGAUGGAGUUUCACUCUGUCAGCAGGCUGGAGUGCAGUGGCACGAUCUUGGCUCACUGCAACCUCCACCUCCCGGGUUCAAGAGAUUUUCCUGCCUCAGCCUCCUGAGUAGCUGUGACUACAGGCACCCGCCAACAUGUCUGGAUAAUUUUUGUAUUUUUAGUAGAGACGGGGUUUCACCAUAUUGGCCAGACUGGUCUCAAACUCUUGACUUUGUGAUCCACCCAUCUCGGUCUCUCAGAGUGCUGGGAUUACAGGCGUGAGCCACCGCGCCUGGCCCAAAUUCUUAAACUGGAAGGAGAAGCAGCAUUUCUGUAUACACAGAUAGUGUGCAGUAAUCUUUAUAUUUUGAAUAGUAAAACUGAAUAGCAUGGGAAUUCUAUGAAGAGGGUCAAGAUUCUUUAGCAAACAUUUUAGAUGGAUCUUUGAGAACCUAAUCCCUAAUCUUCAUCAUAAGGGAGGUCAGCUCUACCAUCCCUCCCCUUCCCCCUCCUCCGCUUUUUCUUUUUGUUUGAGACGGAGUCUGGCUCUGUCGCCCAGGCUGGAGUGCAGUGGCGCGAUCUGGGCUUACUGCAAGCUCCACAUCCCGGGUUCACGCCAUUCUUCUGCCUCAGCCUCCCGAGUAGCUGGGACUACAGGCGCCCGCCACCACGCCCG